AUUGAACGCUGGCGGCAGGCCUAACACAUGCAAGUCGAGCGGAUGAGUGGAGCUUGCUCCAUGAUUCAGCGGCGGACGGGUGAGUAAUGCCUAGGAAUCUGCCUGGAAGUGGGGGACAACGGUUCGAAAGGAACGCUAAUACCGCAUACGUCCUACGGGAGAAAGCAGGGGACCUUCGGGCCUUGCGCUCGCAGAUGAGCCUAGGGCGGGUUAGCUAGUAGGUGAGGUAAUGGCUCACCUAGGCGACGAUCCGGAACUGGUCUGAGAGGAUGAUCAGUCACACUGGAACUGAGACACGAUCCAGACUCCUACGGGAGGCAGCAGUGGGGAAUAUUGGACAAUGGGCGAAAGCCUGAUCCAGCCAUGCCGCGUGUGUGAAGAAGGUCUUCGGAUUGUAAAGCACUUUAAGUUGGGAGGAAGGGCAGUAAGUUAAUACCUUGCUGUUUUGACGUUACCAACAGAAUAAGCACCGGCUAACUUCGUGCCAGCAGCCGCCGUAAAAC
rnacentral:rRNA from 1 species